AUGUGCGACACCAACAUUUUCAACAUUCUCAUAAACGUGAACUCCUUCUCUUUGAGCCAUCCUCAAUUACAUAUAUUGGAUGGGUCACUCUUUCAUUGUUGUUUCCUUCUUGUUGUCUACAUGAUACAUCUCGCGAACGGAGGAGCGACAUUGGUGAUUGGCUCUAUGGACCUUUACAUUAAGGAGCGCUCGCACUUAUUGGAUGCACCUUCGAACCUCCACUCUUGCCUCGACAUCGAGCAUUGGUACACCAACACCUCCAUAUUUGUUGAUUGUGCUCAUACAUGUCAUGCUCGAUGGACAUAUCAUACUUCCCACAAGUUUGCACCCCAUGCAUGGAUUGACUCACAUUAUGAUUGCCUUGUUGCAUCUUAUAUUCCAAUGUCAUCCAUGAUAUAUGAGCUUGUUCACUUCCUUAGCAAAUUUGUUGUGAUCUUCCUUGAUGGCAUAUUCAUACAUCAUGAUCAUAUUGUCCAUCAUCAAUUGCAUGAUAACAUAUACAUAUUGAGAAUCCAUUGCCAUGUUCAUGCUUUUGAUACACCAUCCCAUUAUGACAUCAUUUUGCACAAUGGUAGAAUUUGUCGCUUUGUGCACCAUGCUAAUUAUCCCAUGAAUGCUUUACAUCUCAUUCUACAUCUUUUGGAUAAGCAUCUUGUGCCUUGCCACGCACUAUCUUGCCGCACGGACUCAUUCUUACAUGAUGGACUCUUUGUGUGCGCUAACCAUUGUAUUUCCGAGGAUUGUUUGUGUUUGCUCCUUUUGCAUAUCUAUCACUCCGGCGACACCUUGGACUACUUGGAUUGCGCCAUGUCUUCAACUUCAUCCAACUACAACUCCGUCCACGACAACCGUUUUCAUGGUGAUGAGGAUCACGAUCCGAGGUCGGAUCUUUCCCAAGGGGGGGGGGGAGAUGAUGCGGAGCAUCCCACGUUCAUCCCCAUGUACACUCCGACUACUCCCCAAGCCCCAAGGAUCAUAAGAUGA
rnacentral:rRNA from 1 species